UUGAACGCUGGCGGCAGGCCUAACCCAUGCAAGUCGCACGGUAACAGGAAGAAGCUUGCUUCUUUGCUGACGAGUGGCGGACGGGUGAGUAAUGUCUGGGAAACUGCCUGAUGGAGGGGGAUAACUACUGGAAACGGUAGCUAAUACCGCAUAACGUCGCAAGACCAAAGAGGGGGACCUUCGGGCCUCUUGCCAUCGGAUGUGCCCAGAUGGGAUUAGCUAGUAGGUGGGGUAACGGCUCACCUAGGCGACGAUCCCUAGCUGGUCUGAGAGGAUGACCAGCCACACUGGAACUGAGACACGGUCCAGACUCCUACGGGAGGCAGCAGUGGGGAAUAUUGCACAAUGGGCGCAAGCCUGAUGCAGCCAUGCCGCGUGUAUGAAGAAGGCCUUCGGGUUGUAAAGUACUUUCAGCGGGGAGGAAGGGAGUAAAGUUAAUACCUUUGCUCAUUGACGUUACCCGCAGAAGAAGCACCGGCUAACUCCGUG
rnacentral:rRNA from 1 species